rfam:Canis lupus familiaris chromosome 3, whole genome shotgun sequence.
GGGGAGCGCAGGAUCCCGACUGUGUCCCCCAGCGCCCUGGGCUCCGGGGCCUGUGCUGCUGGAAUCGCUCCCGGGCCGCGGCUCCCC